rnacentral:misc_RNA from 1 species
GAUGAAGAACGCAGCGAAAUGCGAUAAGUAAUGUGAAUUGCAGAAUUCAGUGAAUCAUCGAAUCUUUGAACGCACCUUGCGCCCCUUGGUUAUUCCAAAGGGCAUGCCUGUUUGAGUAUCAUGAACACCUCAACUCUUGUGGUUUCCCACAAUGAGCUUGGACUGUGGAGGUUUUGUUGGCCCUGUGGUCAGCUCCUCUCAAAUGGAUCAGCUUACCGGUGUUUGGUGGCAUUACGGGUGUGAUAACUAUCUACGCUCGUGGUCGUCUCCAAAUAACCUCCAGUGAUGGAGGUUCGCUGGAGCUUAUAAAUGUCUCUCCCCAGUUAAGACAGCCUUUGAACGUUCGAUCUCAAAUCAGGUAGGACUACCCGCUGAACUUAAGCAUAUCAAUAAGCGGAGGA